CCUACGGGUGACAGCAGUGAGGAAUAUUGGUCAAUGGGCGGAAGCCUGAACCAGCCAAGUCGCGUGCAGGAUGACGGCCCUACGGGUUGUAAACUGCUUUUAUACGGGAAUAACGCGCCUUACGUGUAGGGCUUUGCAUGUACCGUAUGAAUAAGGACCGGCUAAUUCCGUGCCAGCAGCCGCGGUAAUACGGAAGGUCCGGGCGUUAUCCGGAUUUAUUGGGUUUAAAGGGAGCGUAGGCCGCAUGUCAAGCGUGCUGUGAAAUGUCCGGGCUCAACCCGGGCCUUGCAGCGCGAACUGGCGGGCUUGAGUGCGCGGAAGGCAGGCGGAAUUCGUGGUGUAGCGGUGAAAUGCGUAGAUAUGACGAAGAACCCCGAUGGCGAAGGCAGCUUGCUGGAGCGGAACUGACGCUGAGGCUCGAAAGCGCGGGUAUCGAACAGGAUUAGAUACCCCUGUAGUC
rnacentral:rRNA from 1 species